rnacentral:snoRNA from 1 species
CUUCUGCUGUGAUGAUUUAUGAAUAAAUUCACAUGUCAGACUUCAGAGAUUUUUGCGAAAAAAUCUAUGAGAAUACAUUUCAUUUUUCCUGAGCAGGAG